ACCGCAUAAGACAAAGAUACAUAAACAGUCAAUCAAUUAACAUAAAGAUACCAUAAAGACAAGGAUACAUAAACAGUCGAUCAAUUAACACAAAGAUACCAUAAAACACUUGGAGAGGGGAAACAAGCAACUCCCAAGAGCAAAACUGGGAUUCCUUAUACUUCUCCAUGCUCAAUAAGAUGUGUCUACUUCAGAAUUCUUUACUCCUAACACACGAGGUUCUAAGACAGUUUAACCCCAGUUAAGAACGGUUUG
rnacentral:misc_RNA from 1 species